GUGUUAGUAGCUCAAAUGGAUAGAGCCCCUGAUUGUGACGCAGGAGGUUGCGGGAUCAUACCCCGUCUAACACC
rnacentral:tRNA from 1 species